UACGAAGGGGGCUAGCGUUGCUCGGAAUUACUGGGCGUAAAGCGCACGUAGGCGGAUCUUUAAGUCAGGGGUGAAAUCCUGGAGCUCAACUCCAGAACUGCCUUUGAUACUGAGGGUCUUGAGUUCGGGAGAGGUGAGUGGAACUGCGAGUGUAGAGGUGAAAUUCGUAGAUAUUCGCAAGAACACCAGUGGCGAAGGCGGCUCACUGGCCCGGUACUGACGCUGAGGUGCGAAAGCGUGGGGAGCAAACAGG
rnacentral:rRNA from 1 species